rnacentral:lncRNA from 1 species
CCCUCCCAGUCCCCACCCCAGGCUCUCCGUGGUUCCGUCAGUCUCAGCCUGAAGUGGUGCCCCCAUGGCAGCUCCAACUCCAUCACUCCCAUUCACUCCCAGUUCAAUCCCAUCAAUUCCCAGUUCAAUCCGAGUCCCUCCCAGUCCAUCCCAGUUCAAUCCCAUUGAUUCCCAGUCCGUCCCAGUACCCACCCCAGGCUCUCCGUGGUUCCAUCAGCCCCAGUCUGAAGUGGUGCCCGCGGGGCAGCUCCAGCUCCAUCGAUCCCAAUCACUCCCAUUCAUUCCCAGUUCAAUCCCAUUCAUUCUCAGUCCCUCCCAGUUCAAUCCCAUCAAUUCCCAACCCAUCCCAGUUCAAUCCCAGCCCGUCCCAGUUCAAUCCCAUUCAUUCCCAGUCCCCCCAGUACCCACCCCAGGCUCUCCGAGGUUCCGUCAGCCUCAGCCUGAAGUGGUGCCCCCGUGGCAGCUCCAACUCCAUCACUCCCAUUCACUCCCAGUCAAUCCCAUCGAUUCCCAGUUCAAUCCCAGUCCCUCCCAGUUCAAUCCCAGUCCCUCCCAGUUCAAUCCCAUUCAUUCCCAGUCCCCCCAGUACCCACCCCAGGCUCUCCGAGGUUCCGUCAGCCUCAGCCUGAAGUGGUGCCCGCGGGGCAGCUCCAGCUCCAUCACUCCCAUUCACUCCCAGUCAAUCCCAUCGAUUCCCAGUCCAAUCCCACUCAUUCCCAGUUCAAUCCCAGCCCGUCCCAGUUCAAUCCCAGUUCAUUCCCCGUCCCCCCCAGUACCCACCCCACGCUCUCUGUGGUUCCGUCAGCCUCAGCCUGAACUGGUGCCCGCGGGGCAGCUCCAACUCCAUCACUCCCAUUCACUCCCAGUCAAUCCCAUCGAUUCCCAGUCCAAUCCCAGUUCAAUCCCAGUCCCUCCCAGUCCAUCCCAGUUCAAUCCCAGUCCCUCCCAGUCCCCCCAGUACCCACCCCAGGCUCUCCGUGGCUCCGUCAGCCUGAGUCUGAAGUGG